rnacentral:rRNA from 1 species
ACCCCACCGAACCCACCUUUCUUCCCCGGUCAAGCCUCCACGGCUCCACCCAUCUACCCCCCAAUGCCCACCUCCUGACCACCACCCACGCCCCAGCGCCAUCACGCCCAUGACCACGAGCAUGGCGCCCCAGCAACCACCCGCGCCGCCCGCCCCGGGCUGCGUCCCGCUCCACCCCGUCCCAGCCAGCACCGCGUGCCGCCCGACCCAAGGACCAACCGCGCCGCCCACCCCAAGGGUCACCUGCGCCGCCUGCCCUGGACAGCAUCGAGCGCCGCCCCACGCGUCGCCCGCCCCGACCUCCAUCUCCUGCGCCGCCCCACUGGAUCCAUCGUCGCCGUCACCGGCUACUCUAGAUCUGGCGAUAGGGAAGCCCCACCGCCGCCUGGUGCAGGUGCAGUGUUGCACUGCCUGCCGCCCUGCCUCCUACUCUGGUGACCGGCUGUUCCCCGGAACCUCGACGACCUCCUACUAGAUCCGGCCGCCGUAUUCUACCUUCUCUGCUGCAAAAAAGAGGGUGCGUCGGCUACAUCCGACGACCUCCUGCCGGUGGCCGCGGCCGGAUCCAAACCUCCAACGACAUGAUCCAUUGCGGCCAUGCCUUGCCUCGCCCACCUGCUCGCUGAUCCGUGGCUCCAAGUUCUUUCUUCAUGCAUGUGAAGUUCGCUAUUGUUCAUCGGCUCCCAGUUCGUGCAUGUGCAGUUCUCUUUGUUUUUGCAGAGCAGCGACAGAAGAUCCGACAGAGGGUGGUGACCCCUCUUCCACCUACCUUUGCCGGCGUGCACUACAGGCAACAGCAGCGUGCACUGCAGGCAACGGUGGCAUGCACUGCAGGCAGCAGCAGCAUGCACUGCAGGCACCAAUGGCGUGCACUACAGGGAGCAGCAGCAGUGUGCACUCCAGGCAGCAACAGCGUGCAGUGCGGCGACCAUGUGUGUGCAGUCCGCGAAGAUGUUUGAUUUGUGUGUGUUUUGCUCACAACUGACAUUUUUGCGUAUUUCAUUUUUUGGUUGUAGUCCCAUGGGUGCACAGGUACAGUGCUGCGGGGGUUGGACAUGCAGUGCGCAAGCACCGGCUUGCCUUUCACGGGCAAAAUUAUGAAUUUAUUUUUAAGUCCUUCAUCAUUGUGAUUUGUAUGUGUUUGUACUGUGGAUAAAGAGAAGCAUUGCAGCCCUGUCUCUUAGCCCAUAGACCCACCAAUCACAGCUCUCCCAAGAACGUGCAUUGAAGAAAACAAAACAAUAAUUUUUUUGAAAUGCAGCUCACUUGUUUGAUCGCUGCAGCAAUUUUCUUUUUCCCAGAGGUUCACUAUGU